AUGCGAUAAGUAGUGUGAAUUGCAGAAUUCAGUGAAUCAUCGAAUCUUUGAACGCACAUUGCGCCCCUUGGUAUUCCAUGGGGCAUGCCUGUUCGAGCGUCAUUUGUACCUUCAAGCUCUGCUUGGUGUUGGGUGUUUUGUCUCGCCUCCGCGCGCAGACUCGCCUUAAAACAAUUGGCAGCCGGCGUAUUGAUUUCGGAGCGCAGUACAUCUCGCGCUUUGCACUCAUAACGACGACGUCCAAAAGUACAUUUUUACACUCUUGACCUCGGAUCAGGUAGGGAUACCCGCUGAACUUAA
rnacentral:misc_RNA from 1 species